AGCUGACUGACGCUGACUUCCAGGGUCGUCUGGAGGAGGACGGACCUGCGGUCGUCAGCGGUGCUUUGAGUGGCGGUCCAGCACAGAUGCCUGACAGCCAUAUCAUCCCUGCGCCUGCUGAUGAGGAUCAGCCUGUGUUGAAGAGGGGGAGGGAUGGUGAUGACAAUGAUCAGCAGAAGCAAGAAUACAAAAAGAUCAAGAUGCCAAUCAGCCAGAUCACGCCUGCGCCUGCUGAUAAGGAUCAACCUGUGUUGAAGAGGGGGAGGGAUGGUGAUGGCAAUGAUCAGCAGAAGCAAGAAUACAAAAAG